UACGGGGGGAGGCAAGCGUUGUUCGGAUUUACUGGGCGUAAAGGGCGCGCAGGCGGCCACCGCAAGUCAGUUGUGGAAAUCUCUGGGCUUAACCCAGAAAGGUCAACUGAUACUGCGGGGCUAGAGUGCAGAAGGGGCAACUGGAAUUCUCGGUGUAGCGGUGAAAUGCGUAGAUAUCGAGAGGAACACCUGCGGCGAAGGCGGGUUGCUGGGCUGACACUGACGCUGAUGCGCGAAAGCGUGGGGAGCAAACAGG
rnacentral:rRNA from 1 species